rnacentral:rRNA from 1 species
CCUACGGGUGGCUGCAGUGGGGGAUAUUGCACAAUGGGGGAAACCCUGAUGCAGCGACGCCGCGUGUGGGAAGACGGUCUUCUGGAUUGUAAACCACUGUCCCCAGGGACGAAAAUGACGGUACCUGGGGAGUCGGCUCCGGCUAACUACGUGCCAGCCGCCGCGGUAAUACGUAGGGAGCAAGCGUUGUCCGGAAUUACUGGGUGUAAAGGGAGCGUAGGCGGGGAUGCAAGUUGGGUGUCAAAACUACCGGCUCAACCGAUAGUCGCACUCAAAACUGCAACUCUUGAGUGAAGUAGAGGCAGGCGGAAUUCCUAGUGUAGCAGUGAAAUGCGUAGAUAUUAGGAGGAACACCAGUGGCGAAGGCGGCCUGCUGGGCUUUAACUGACGCUGAGGCUCGAAAGUGUGGGGAGCGAACAGGAUUAGAUACCCCUGUAGUC